CAAUGGGUAUUUGGGGAUCAUUCUUCUAAGUUAAAUGUGUCACAAAGCGUUAUUGGCAGAGGUGUGGAACCAGGGGAAUCAACUCAGGCACUCAGUAGUUUAAACUACCACAUUGUCAAGGACACCAGGGAUAGUUGGAAGGGCAGUUUCUACCAGACCAGAGGUUAAAGGCUCAAGGGCUGAAAGCGGAAUUAGAGAAAAAACCCUCAAGGGUGAAGGUGGCAGCCAAGCAAAUCUGCGCAGGUAGAGUGGUUGACAAUGUCAGGAACCCCAAACUGAAGAUGAACAAGACCACUUUGAGCACAGUGGGCUGAUUUGUGUUUGGCAGAACUUUGAGGCGUUCUGACUUUGACCUCAUCCCUGAGAUCAGGCAGAUUCAUUCUUGGUCUGCCACUUCUGGGAAGGCUCCAUCCUCAGCACAUCCACAGCCACAAGCCAGGU